rnacentral:miRNA from 1 species
ACUUUCUCCAUCUACCAAGAUGAGGGAGCGGGUGGGAGGCGGGAAGGCUGCCCCAAAAGGGUCUUUAACAUCCCUUCCA